AGGGUUGUGGCUCAGUGGUAGAGCGCUCACCUCGCACGUGUGAGGCACUGGGUUCGAUCCUCAGCACCACUU
rfam:Ictidomys tridecemlineatus contig023278, whole genome shotgun sequence.